rnacentral:rRNA from 1 species
UACGGAGGGGGCGAGCGUUAUUCGGAAUUAUUGGGCGUAAAGGGCGCGUAGGCGGCCCUGCAAGUCAAAGGUGAAAUCCCUCGGCUCAACUGAGGAACUGCCUUUGAAACUGCGGGGCUUGAGGCCGGGAGAGGGACGCGGAAUUCCAGGUGUAGCGGUGAAAUGCGUAGAUAUCUGGAGGAACACCGGUGGCGAAGGCGGGUCUCUGGGCCGAUACUGACGCUGAGGAGCGAAAGCGUGGGGAGCGAACAGG